GGAGCAGUCCCGGCACAAGAGGAUAGCUGGCCUGUGGGAAAUAUUGAUUGCAGUGGAGCUGAGGGAAACUCCCUCCUUUUUGUAGGCUUCUUUUCUACGGUGUCAAAGCAAUGAAGUGUAUCUACCCACAGUCACCAGUUGUAUCCUGACAGUCCUUCCUUGAAAAUGGGCAAGCUGUGACUCCACGCUCACGGGAAUACAGCAGUGACUGCACUGACUCCAUCAUAGUUUGAUGUAUUCAUGUUCUUUGAAAGGACCAGUGGAAAUUGUCAUAAAUUCAUUUGCUAUUCAUGUUAAUGAAUGCUAGCUCUUAUUCUUCCUCAAUGGUAUUAUGAUUGCAAUCUGGAUUGCCAUAGGGACCCCGCUGUAAUUCAUCAUUGCUUCAGUGUUCAAAUCCUCUGGUGGAACCAGAUAUUGGUGUCGACAACAUCUGGAGUUUUACGUCUCUCGUCUUUUUUCUACCUCCUUCCCUCUGUUUAAUCAAGAGAAUGGGAAGGGGAAAUUGCUGCCAUUGUUAAUAUCGUCAAGAAACCGAAUGACUGCUAGGACUUUGGAGGAUAUUUAGACCUAGGAUUAGGAGAUACAGGCCUGUUCACAGAGGUGAGACUGAGGAACAUCUGCUUUCAACACACUGUAAUGCCAGUCGCCAUGGCAUGCCCAGAGAGGCAGGAGGCCACGCUUCCAUCUCCCAUUCUGAAGCCAAGCAGUGGAUUUGGCGGGUGUGCCCUUUCACAGAAGAGCGUCUUGGCAACCACAGUACAUAUUUGUCUUCCAGGACUAUGAGCGUGUCGUGGUAGGGAACCAACCUUUGUGCAUCCAAAUGCUCCACAACUGGAAUGGCCUCUGCACAAUUCACGUCAAUGGGAUGGUGGUGCAUCUUGUAAACAUCUUGAAUGAAAAGUAAUGCAGAUGGGGAUGGGAAAAGAGGGUCUGCUGUGCAAGAGGAGAUGAAGCAGACUUCCAACACUAUAUUUUAAUCUGAAUGUAAUACUGGAUUUCUCCACCUUCAGAAGCUUGAAGUCUUUUUUGAACACAUCAUUGCUCAUAGAACAUAGAGGCCGUGGUUGUGGUCAUGCUCACUGAAGAGAUGCAAAGCCUAGUUACACCACCAUAGGCCAAGGAGAAGCAAAUGGGGCCAUGCUGUUGCUUCAGCCUCUGCUUUCGAGUUUUACUUCUGCUGCAUCCUGUGAAUUGUGAUAUGUAAAUCUCUGUUGGCCAUAAAUCCCCAGUCUUGUCAGAAUGAAUGCAGAUCAUAGAAGGGAAAGGAAGGGGAGGAUGCAUUUUAAUGUUUUUAAGCUUUGCUGAGGACAUCUGGCCUGUGGUGAUUUGCUUAAAAGAGGAUUAAUUGUAACGCAAACUCAGGAAGAAUGGGGAUUCUUUAGUGACAAGUGUCAAGUAUACAGGAAAUGUAUUGUUUAUAGGAGCCAGUGGAAUCAAAACAGAAUUAUAAAACCUUUCCAGGAUCUCCCUGAUGUUUCAAAACGCUUCAGAGAAAUCCAUUAUAUCUGGAGAAUUUCCCCAGCAGGAAUUCUUCGUGUAAUAGAGUUUUGUCCGCAAUGUCUUCCGUUUGAAUAAAGAACUUCUUUGAAACCCAGAGUUACAGCAAGUGAAGUGAAGCUAAAUUGUGUUUGCCUUACGCACAGAAGUGCUUUGCACAAACACAGUUUUGUCAGCAAAUAGACUGUUACUCGUUAAAUGAGAGUGUUUGUGCCACGUAAUUAAAGUUCCAUGGUCUGGCUUGUUGCAGAUGAUAGACACCAAUAUAGACCCACAGCUUUAUCCCCGUGGAUGAACAUCUGCAGCCCCACAGCCUUACUACCUGAGGGAGGACUCACUAACCCCAGGCAUAUCUACCUGGUGAGCUGGAGGCUGGUAUAGAGAUAUCCAAGCUAGCAGAGAUCCCAGCCAGUGUGGAUUUCCAAUGUGGCUCUGAAUGCAGCCCAGCCAUUUUUUGUGAAGUAUGGUGCUCAGACUAAUAAAUCUGCCCCAGAAAAGUCUUUGGCUGUGGUCCUGCAGAUACACAAGGGGACAGAUUCAUAAAGUGAACCAGAUCUGUGAUAGGUUUUCUGAAGGGUGACCACUGUGCCAGAUGGAUUUUCUAGUAACAGCAGCACUCACUAGUUUUGAAAAUGAAAUGUUGAGAAGUGCUGAUUUCAGAAUAACGUGGAGGUCAGCUAUUACAGUCUUUGUAUGAAAUAAAUAUUGGAUACCAAUAAAUAAGUGAUGUUACACUCUGAAA